AGAUUUAUCGGUAAAGGAUCGGCCCGCGUUGGGUUAGCUAGUUGGUGGGGUAAAGGCCUACCAAGGCGACGAUCCAUAGCUGGUCUGAGAGGAUGAUCAGCCACAUUGGGACUGAGACACGGCCCAAACUCCUACGGGAGGCAGCAGUGGGGAAUAUUGGACAAUGGGCGCAAGCCUGAUCCAGCCAUGCCGCGUGAGUGAUGAAGGCCCUAGGGUUGUAAAGCUCUUUCACCGGUGAAGAUAAUGACGGUAACCGGAGAAGAAGCCCCGGCUACUUCGUGCCAGCAGCCGCGGUAAUACGAAGGGGGCUAGCGUUGUUCGGAAUUACUGGGCGUAAAGCGCACGUAGGCGGGUAUUUAAGUCAGGGGUGAAAUCCCGGAGCUCAACUCCGGAACUGCCUUUGAUACUGGGUACCUAGAGUAUGGAAGAGGUGAGU
rnacentral:rRNA from 1 species